rnacentral:rRNA from 1 species
CCUACGGGAGGCAGCAGUGAGGAAUAUUGGUCAAUGGACGCAACUCUGAACCAGCCAAGUAGCGUGCAGGAUGACGGCCCUAUGGGUUGUAAACUGCUUUUAUGCGGGGAUAAACCGAGUCACGUGUGGCUUAUUGCAGGUACCGUAUGAAUAAGGACCGGCUAAUUCCGUGCCAGCAGCCGCGGUAAUACGGAAGGUCCGGGCGUUAUCCGGAUUUAUUGGGUUUAAAGGGAGCGUAGGCCGCAUCUUAAGCGUGUUGUGAAAUGUCGCGGCUCAACCGUGGCACUGCAGCGCGAACUGGUGUGCUUGAGUGCGCGGAAGGUAGGCGGAAUUCGUGGUGUAGCGGUGAAAUGCUUAGAUAUGACGAAGAACCCCGAUUGCGAAGGCAGCUUGCUGUAGCGGUACUGACGCUGAUGCUCGAAGGUGCGGGUAUCGAACAGGAUUAGAUACCCGAGUAGUC